AGAACAUGGAGUCACAUUCAUUCCUUCCUGCCAUGGGGGGCCCCAGAAAAUACCCCAAUAGGAGUUAUGAAAAAGGAUACCUCACAUGUGUAUCUGUGGAAAGGCAAUCUUUGUUUGUAGCAGGUAAUAUCUGAAAACUUUUGAAUUGCAGUGCUAACAAAUAUUUUUUUUCCAAACAGGAAACUUAGUUAAAUUGGUCUUAUACCUAAUACUUCAUGGAUGUUGAAUUUUCUACUAGGUUAAGAAGGUGGUCUGGAUUUUGAAUUUUAGGCAUUCUCCUGAUUGUGAGAAUGAAAAAUUUAGGAAUUGGAAAGAAGGGUUGAAUACUGGCCCUUGUUGAUGUUAGCUGCUCUCUAAAUAUGCAGGCAAAACUAGUUUGUGUCUCAUAGCAUUUAUGUGAAUAUUUAUUGACCAAAGAGUUGUAGUAAAGAGGCUGCUUGCAAUACUCUGGGGUAGCAGCAUGAAGUUUGUGGGAAUUGAAAGGCCAGGGUAUGCUCAACCAUUGAUCAUUGCACAGUUCCUGGGACUCCUUGUCUUGCCAGAUUGGAUCUCAAAGUAAUAAAAUAAUCAUAAGGAAUUGCUACUAAAAGUUCAGUUGCAGCACCUGUCUUUGUCAUAAUCACUUAAGGAUGCAUUAUGUAUUAAGGGAAAGAUUAGGUCGUCAUUACAAAUGAUGGUGCAAACAUUCUGAUGGACUUUUUGUUCUGUUUUAUUUUAAGGUUUUGAAUUAAGCAUCAUACCUGAUAUUUUUCCCCAAAUGAAGAAUCAGUGUAUGUAGAAUCUUUCUGGGAUGCAGAAAUUUCUGCUGGAAUGGAGAAAGAAAACUGUAAGAACUUCUCACAAAGACAAAUGUGCUUAAGAGAGCCUUGGUUUUGUUGGAAGAAAUUACUGCAUAAGUUCAACAAGGAGCCAUAGUCCUGCUUACAACACAGAAAUCUAGCGCUGCCCGUGAUGCUCUGACAGUGGAUAUGAGAGUGGGAAUCACUGGAGCUGAAGUGUUCAAUGAGCCUAAGAAGAGACUAAUAUAAUUUGAAGUUCACAAAGACAGCCAUCAACAAACCAGCAGAAUUAUAGAUGAAGAACUGUUCUGUGGUUUGUUAUGAGAGAGAUCUACUUCUGAAUAAGCUGUGUCUGGUUAGGAAGAAUAAGGUGGAAAGAAAUGCCUUCAUCCCAUUCAAGAUGACACAUGCAGCUCAAAAAAUGGGAACUUUGGGCUGGUUGGAAAUCAAGGCCAUGCUAGACAAGGAGGUCGCCUGAAGAAAUCUUUACACACCUCCAAUGUUUCCUGAAGGGACAUUUUGGAUCAGAAGAAAACAGAGAUCUAAUCUAAUGGUAGUGCUCCUUGUCAAGCUCAGAACUCUCUAUUUGGUUGAGAUGAAUGUCAGUCCUCAAAGCCCUGCAUGUACUCCCUCUGGGAUCACACAUGGAUAGAAUAUCUGCACUGAUGGAAACCCUGCAUUUGUGUAUUGAGUCGUGUUUGUCACUGAAGUCUGUUUCCUGUUGUGCUGUAAAAUAGAAAUGUGGUUUGAUGUGACAAGUCCCAAUCCUUGUUGUGUGUAGUCAUUAAAGAUCCCAUUAUCUGUUUCCUGAAACCUAAGCCAUACAUUCUGCUGUAUGAAAUCUUCAGUUGGAUUCCCUUCCCUUCCAUUUCUGGUAGGUAUAGUAGAGAUUGUAUGAACUGAAGUGAAAAGAAAAGACGAGAACAUGAUUUUUCACCUGUCUUCUUCCAGUGAAAGACUGAAAGGUUAUUCCCUAGGAAGUGCUGAGGUAUUUAAAAUGUGUCUUUGCAUUUCCUGCAUAACUGGAUCCUAGCUCAUUAAAGAUCUCCUGUGCUUUCCAGUGCCCCAGUAAAAUGUGGCUGCUCCAAAGAGCAGAGAUCCUGCAGAGGAGGCAGUGUCAGGAGUGUCUGAGAGAGAGGAAGUACACAGCAGCAGAUAGUCUGCUUUCAACACAGUGGUGCUGACAGCCUGCAUCCAUUCCAGAGAAUGCCUUCAAAUCAGUGACUUCAAAUGGAAUCCAAGAGAGAGUUAGUUCUGUUUGAGGGAGAUGGUUGUAACCUGUUAAGAGCCAGGUCAGGGAGCAAAAUCUGGAAUGCAUCCCUAUCUGCAAACAGAGGUGUCCGCAUGUGGCUUGCUGGGGCUGUAGCUGGCACAAGGACCUAAAGCUUCCACUAAGAUGGAUCCACCUCAAGCAAAGACCUUUUCCUCCUGGCUUAUGAAGCUGCAACACCAGUGAAAGCUGGGCAAGAAAAGAGCUGCAGCCCAUCCAAGUUUUUUAGCAGAGAAGGACCACAGAAUGUGGCUUGGAGAUGCUUUGAGUAGGCUUUCUUCAAGGUUUUAGAGUGGGCUGAAGUUACAAAGACACAACUAAUUAGCAAAGCAUACCUUCUCUCCUUUGGAACCUGGGUCUCCUUUCAGUCCAGGCAAGCCAGGUGGGCCCUUUAUAAAGCAAGGGAAGUCAUGUUAAACUUUCUCCAGGGUGACACUGAACAUCUGCAGCAGUGCAUGGACCUUUUGGCCAGCAGAGAUAGUUCAGACUACAUCAAAGAUAAUGCCAAAUGAAUUGAAUUAACCACAAGAGGACUUCGACCAUUUGUUGAGGACCAGGUGGGCCAGCUUCACCUGAAGGACCUGGUGGACCCUGCAAAAGAAAAUUAAAAUCACAGCAGGAAUAAAGGAUGAAGUUCUCACCUGUAUUAAAUGCCAUGGACAUCUGUCAUGUGUUAGCCCCAUCAAUGGACAGAAUCUACAGAAACAGAGCUUUGAUGCUUAAUAUGGGUAUUGCUCAGUUGUAUUUUUGUCCCAUACCUGAUGGCAAUACAUGAAACAAAGCUUGCUAGCCUCUGUGGUGACAUGCCUAAAUGAAAGGACUCUGAGGAAUGCUCCAGCUGACUGGCAAGUGUUACCAUGAGAAAGAGAUUUGGCAUACAUGGAUUUUUCUACACUCUUCAAGAUGCUUCAAUGUGCUCCUUCAUUUUAUAGGCUCUGGAAUGAGGCCUACACAUUUUUAAACUAAUUUAAAAAACCAUUUUGAUAUUAAGCACUGUUGGAACGUACUCUGCAGUUGAUUAAUGAGGAGUUACUUGGACACAUGGCCAGAUUCUUUUUAGCCAUUGCUUUGGAGGGCAAAUGGAGAAAGACUGAUCAGUAUAAUGAGAGAAUCCUCAGUUAAUAAAGGCAGCUGCGAUAACUGGGGAGGUUUUGAAGUUCAAGGGAGGACAGCACAUCAACAACAAAAUUGUGCUGUCUUAACUAGAAUAGGCCAACAUAGUUAGGCACAGGACAG